rnacentral:lncRNA from 1 species
UUCCACUAAAUUUACUUUUGACAAAUGGCUUGUACCUUUGUGAUUUAACAGCACAUCGUGGAAUGGCCCUGGACCAGCAUGGCAUCAGACCUGUUUUGCAUUUGUUUCUUCUGUGGUGGAUGCAAAGAACAUGGUACAUAAUCUAAUUCACUUCUGUAAGGAAGGACAGUUAAUCUACUAUAGACCUUCAGCAGUAACGUGCAAUAUGAAAAUAAAAACUAUCACACACGGUGUAUGUCAAACUGAGAAAGAAUGCGGCAAGGACCAGCCACAAUCAAAGAUUCUGUUUGGAAGAAGCUGUAGGUGACACCGGUGCUGACCAACUUCUGCAUUCACACACCAGCUGAAGAAACAAGAGUCCCAUGGGCACGGUGGGUCUGAGUUGUCAACAUACAAAGGUCAGAGGACCCUGUAAUUUUUUUCACUACAGCUCAGAAGCCAGAACAUUUGGGCUCAUUCUAGAGCAGAGACUCCCGAUUGUAGCUCGUUUCAUUAUCCCUGCUGAGAAUGAAUUUUUAAAAUAAAACUGAAAUCCUGUAACAC